GAUGAACGCUGGCGGCGUGCCUAAUACAUGCAAGUAGAACGCUGAAGGAGGAGCUUGCUCUUCUGGAUGAGUUGCGAACGGGUGAGUAACGCGUAGGUAACCUGCCUGGUAGCGGGGGAUAACUAUUGGAAACGAUAGCUAAUACCGCAUGACAACAGUUAUUGCAUGAUAACUGUUUAAAAGGGGCAACUGCUCCACUACCAGAUGGACCUGCGUUGUAUUAGCUAGUUGGUGAGGUAACGGCUCACCAAGGCGACGAUACAGAGCCGCCCUGAGAUGGGGGUCGGCCACCCUGGGACUGGGACCCGGCCCAGUCGCCUACGGGAGGCAGCAGGAGGGAAUCGUCGGCAAUGGACGGAAGUCUGACCGAGCAACGCCGCGUGAGUGAAGAAGGUUUUCGGAUCGGAAAGCUCGGUUGUAAGAGAAGAACGAGUGUGAGAGUGGAAAGUUCACACUGUGACGGUAUCUUACCAGAAAGCGACGGCUAACUACGUG
rnacentral:rRNA from 1 species